rnacentral:rRNA from 1 species
GAUGAACGCUGGCGGCGUGCCUAAUACAUGCAAGUCGAGCGAACGGACGAGAAGCUUGCUUCUCUGAUGUUAGCGGCGGACGGGGGAGUAACACGUGGAUAACCUACCUAUAAGACUGGGAUAACUUCGUGAAACCGGAGCUAAUACCGGAUGAUAUUUUGAACCGCAUGGUUCAAAAGUGAAAGACGGUCUUGCUGUCACUUAUAGAUGGAUCCGCGCUGCAUUAGCUAGUUGGUAAGGUAACGGCUUACCAAGGCAACGAUGCAUAGCCGACCUGAGAGGGUGAUCGGCCACACUGGAACUGAGAAACGGUCCAGACUCCUACGGGAGGCAGCAGUAGGGAAUCUUCCGCAAUGGGCGAAAGCCUGACGGAGCAACGCCGCGUGAGUGAUGAAGGUCUUCGGAUCGUAAAACUCUGUUAUUAGGGAAGAACAUAUGUGUAAGUAACUGUGCACAUCUUGACGGUACCUAAUCAGAAAGCCACGGCUAACUACGUG